UACAGAGGUCUCAAGCGUUGUUCGGAUUCAUUGGGCGUAAAGGGUGCGUAGGCGGCGGGGUAAGUCUGAUGUGAAAUCCUGGGGCUCAACCCUGGAACUGCAUUGGAUACUGCCUUGCUUGAGAACUGGAGAGGAGACUGGAAUUUACGGUGUAGCAGUGAAAUGCGUAGAGAUCGUAAGGAAGACCAGUGGCGAAGGCGAGUCUCUGGACAGUUACUGACGCUGAGGCACGAAGGCCAGGGGAGCAAACGGG
rnacentral:rRNA from 1 species